GGUAGCCUCCAGGUCUGCUGAUAAAUGGUUUAUUGGGACAAAGGGAGAUACUAUUUUCUCAUAGAAUUCCAUCAAAUUAAGACGUAAAAGAAAUCCUGGAAGCAUUCAAAGCGGCAUAUUGGAGGUUUUGUUCAUUUUUAUAUCCUCAGUAAUUCUGAUAAUUUUUUUGUGGAUCUUCCCAAUGCCAGAAAGUCGUAGUAAAGUCACAGAAUAUUCCCGGAUACAAACUAUUUACACGUGUUUAGUAUUUAUUUGGAAUAUAAGAACAUUUGUAAAAUAAUUAUAAAUUGCUCUGUAUAAAUAAAUGCAGGGUUUUUUUUUUUACAUUUUGUAUCAAAUUAACAAAGUUACCAUUUUUGACAGAAGCAGGUAAUUUUAAGGAAGGCAUUGGAACAUAUAGACAUAUUACACAAUUGUGUUAACAGGCUGUGUUCUGGGGAACAAUUCUCCAUUUCAAUAGACAAUACUGACAACACAAGGCAUGUAAAGUCUGCCAUUACAUGUAUACAUUCAGACUAAGCAUGACAUGGGAAA